GAGCUUCGGUAGCACAUAGACUAAAAUUGGAAUGAUACAGAUAAGAUUAGCGUGGGCCCUGCACAAGGAUGACACACAAAUUCGUGAA
rnacentral:snRNA from 1 species